ACUGUGCGGCACCUGCACUGACGUCGUCUCAUACGAUAUGACUUGUUUUUUUAAUUGAAUUGAAGCUUGUUGAAUAUACGCAUGAUAGCGUUGCCGGUGAACCAGACGUAAAAUUUUGAGCAAAUUCAGGGCAGAUGAAUUAACGAAAACAAACACAGCAGAGAAGUCGCGGGUAAAGACUAAAGUGAAUGUUAUUAAAAUUAGCCGUAUCCUUGAUAGUAAUUGCGGUCUUUAGUUGAAAGCCAAACAUACGUAACAACGAAUUUUAAACGUUACCUUCAAGAACGGUCCUAAUACCCUUUGUUUCUUUGCUGCUUUAUUGGGGAGAAUAAAUUUAUCCGAGUAAAUAAGCCAUUUUAAUGACCAAGCACUGAUAGUAUAGAAUAUAUAAAGACGAUUUGGGGAUUUACAUUUGUAUACACACAAGCGAGGAUUAAUUGGACGUAUACGUAUAUACCUACAACUGCUGCAUGAUGUGUUGAAGUCUUGAAGAUGAAGUGAAAAUUUCAUCCAGGCACUCAGACACGAGAAUUAUCCGAAUCACGUAUGGCGUCAAUGGAAUAGCCUCAGAACUGCUAAUCAAGAAAUGUCGAAGGUGCGGACCGCACGACGGAAAAUAGCAAAUUACAAAUCAGCGGCAGAAUUGAAUGGAAAUCAAUUUAACUAAAUUCAAAUGAUAACAAUCAUCGUAGGAAAUUAACGACGAAGAGUUUUGUUGAAUAUUGCAACAGGAAAGUCAGAAUUACAGAGAUGAACAAGAUGUCUUUUAAGAAACCAACUUAGAAGCACAAGAGAUUUAAAGAGAAGCAGCCCCCAGUAUAACUACAAAAGAUUACUUUGGAGUCCAAGGUAAAGAGGAAGUGUUCUAUAUUUCAUGUUGAACGGUAAAAGAAGACAAGUACGGUCGUUCUGAAAAACUACAGUACAGAAAUCAUAUCUUGAGAGGAUCUUAUAUAUAGUAACAAUGUUCAAUGAUGGCAAAUCAACAUUUCGAACAAGAUCAAUUCAGCUUGCAACGACACGAAAUUACAUGGAAAAAAGACGUCUGGGACAAACUAUACUGCAGUAUCAAAAAGAAUGCAGAGGAAUUAUGAAACAAUUAAGAGAUAAGCAAUAUAGCUUUUUGAAAGCAAAAUAUCCGCAUAUAGUUGCAAGGAACAGCCUGAUCAAUACCACAAGAAAGGACAAUUAUCCCUUAACUAAAACAGAGUUUAAUAAACAUAAAUCAAACCCGCCUAUGAAAAUGACAACAAUUAGGCCUGCGACAAACACUCAAACACAAAAGGAAAUGAAUACGGCGGGA